AUACAUGMAGUCGAGCGAAUGGWUUAAGAGCUUGCUCUUAUGAAGUUAGCGGCGGACGGGUGAGUAACACGUGGGUAACCUGCCCAUAAGACUGGGAUAACUCCGGGAAACCGGGGCUAAUACCGGAUAACAUUUUGAACCGCAUGGUUCGAAAUUGAAAGGCGGCUUCGGCUGUCACUUAUGGAUGGACCCGCGUCGCAUUAGCUAGUUGGUGAGGUAACGGCUCACCAAGGCAACGAUGCGUAGCCGACCUGAGAGGGUGAUCGGCCACACUGGGACUGAGACACGGCCCAGACUCCUACGGGAGGCAGCAGUAGGGAAUCUUCCGCAAUGGACGAAAGUCUGACGGAGCAACGCCGCGUGAGUGAUGAAGGCUUUCGGGUCGUAAAACUCUGUUGUUAGGGAAGAACAAGUGCUAGUUGAAUAAGCUGGCACCUUGACGGUACCUAACCAGAAAGCCACGGCUAACUACGUGCCAGCAGCC
rnacentral:rRNA from 1 species